CUACGGGUUGCAGCAGUGGGGAAUAUUGCACAAUGGGGGAAACCCUGAUGCAGCAACGCCGCGUGGAGGAUGACGCAUUUCGGUGUGUAAACUCCUUUUAUAUAGGAAGAUAAUGACGGUACUAUAUGAAUAAGCACCGGCUAACUCCGUGCCAGCAGCCGCGGUAAUACGGAGGGUGCAAGCGUUACUCGGAAUCACUGGGCGUAAAGCGCGCGCAGGCGGCCCCUUAAGUUGGAUGUGAAAGCCUACGGCUUAACCGUAGAACUGCAUCCAAAACUGAGGGGCUAGAGUCUGGGAGGGGAAUAUGGAAUUAGUUGUGUAGGGGUAAAAUCCGUAGAGAUAACUAGGAAUACCAAAAGCGAAGGCGAUCUUCUGGAACAGUACUGACGCUGAGGCGCGAAAGCGUGGGGAGCAAACAGGAUUAGAUACCCCCGUAGUC
rnacentral:rRNA from 1 species